rnacentral:rRNA from 1 species
UACGAAGGGGGCUAGCGUUGCUCGGAAUCACUGGGCGUAAAGCGCACGUAGGCGGCUUCGCAAGUCAGGGGUGAAAGCCCGGGGCUCAACCCCGGAACUGCCUUUGAGACUGCGUCGCUUGAACCCGGGAGAGGCGGGUGGAAUUCCGAGUGUAGAGGUGAAAUUCGUAGAUAUUCGGAAGAACACCAGUGGCGAAGGCGGCCCGCUGGACCGGUAUUGACGCUGAGGUGCGAAAGCGUGGGGAGCAAACAGG